rnacentral:rRNA from 1 species
CCUACGGGUGGCUGCAGUGGGGAAUAUUGCACAAUGGGCGCAAGCCUGAUGCAGCCAUGCCGCGUGUGUGAAGAAGGCCUUCGGGUUGUAAAGCACUUUCAGCGGGGAGGAAGGCGUUAAGGUUAAUAACCUUGUCGAUUGACGUUACCCGCAGAAGAAGCACCAGCUAACUCCGUGCCAGCAGCCGCGGUAAUACGGAGGGUGCAAGCGUUAAUCGGAAUUACUGGGCGUAAAGCGCACGCAGGCGGUCUGUCAAGUCGGAUGUGAAAUCCCCGGGCUCAACCUGGGAACUGCAUUCGAAACUGGCAGGCUAGAGUCUUGUAGAGGGGGGUAGAAUUCCAGGUGUAGCGGUGAAAUGCGUAGAGAUCUGGAGGAAUACCGGUGGCGAAGGCGGCCCCCUGGACAAAGACUGACGCUCAGGUGCGAAAGCGUGGGGAGCAAACAGGAUUAGAUACCCCAGUAGUC